UCACGAAGGGUUGAUUGACGCUGAGGCACGAAAGCGUGGGGAUCAAACAGGAUUAGAUACCCUGGUAGUCCACGCAGUAAACGAUGAUGGCUAACCGCUGGGUAAUACUAUUCAGUGGCCAAGCGAAAGCGAUAAGCCAUCCACCUGGGGAGUACGACCGCAAGGUUGAAACUCAAAGGAAUUGACGGGGGCCCGCACAAGCGGAGGAACAUGUGGUUUAAUUCGAUGAUACGCGAGGAACCUUACCCGGGCUCGAACGGCUGGCGAAGAGAUCCAGAGAUGGUGACGUCCUUCGGGACGCCAGUCGAGGUGCUGCAUGGUUGUCGUCAGCUCGUGCCGUGAGGUGUCGGCUCAAGUGCCAUAACGAGCGCAACCCUUGCCGUCAGUUACCAUCAAGUAGAGUUGGGGACUCUGGCGGGACUGCCACCGCAAGGUGUGAGGAAGGGGGGGAUGACGUCAAAUCAGCACGGCCCUUACGUCCGGGGCGACACACGUGUUACAAUGGCGGCCACAGAGGGGCACUACCUGGUGACAGGAUGGGAAUCUCGAAAAGCCGUCUCAGUCCGGAUCGGAGUCUGCAACCCGACUCCGUGAAGCUGGA
rnacentral:rRNA from 1 species